rnacentral:rRNA from 1 species
GACGGGGGAUGCAAGUGUUAUCCGGAAUCACUGGGCGUAAAGCGUCUGCAGGUGGUUUCUUAAGUCCACUGUUAAACCUUGAGGCUCAACCUCAAAUCUGCAGUGGAAACUAUGAAACUAGAGUAUAGUAGGGGUAGAGGGAAUUUCCAGUGGAGCGGUGAAAUGCGUAGAUAUUGGAAAGAACACCGAUGGCGAAGGCACUCUACUGGGCUAUUACUGACACUCAGAGACGAAAGCUAGGGGAGCAAAUGGG